UCUAGAUCUUCAUUCAGUGGGAGAAACAUGGUAGAGUGUAUAUAUAACAUCUUACCUCAACCAGAAUCUGUAAAUAUCAGUUUUUGAUUAAAAAAAAUUUUUUUUGAGUUGGGGUCUCAUCUGUUGCACAGGCUGGAAAGCAGUGACACAAUCACAGCUCAUUGCAAUCUGAAACUCCUGGGCUCAUGCAAUCCUCUUGCCUCAACCUCCCAAGUAGCUGGGACUACCAGCGUGCACCACAAGGCUCAGAUAUGUCACCCACCCAAAAGGAAAGAGUCUCUACCUGGCCAGUUCCCCUACCGGCUACACCAGCUGUACCACAUCUGGUCCUCAACCUCAUGGAUGCACCUCUCUGCCAACCCACAGAUUAUUGAAACAAGCCAACUGCAUCCUCCUGCAGGGACCAGGGGCACCUCAACCUCUUGUUGCCACAAAGCCUGCCAUCCACAGCCUUGGCUGGUUUUCUCUGCCCCCCAGCACAACCCUGCAUGGCCCUGCACGGCGUGUGAUGCCCUCCUCCCCCAGGGUGUUAGUAGACGUGACUGAUGAGCUGCUGCCAAGGUCAUCUGUCCAGUGUUGGGCAUCGUGUGUUCAGCCAUCUCAUAUGCUUUAGGAUGGGACAUCCCUCCCUAACCAGUGGGAUAAAUAAGAGGUAAUUGAAACAAGCACUGUGGUUGCCACUUGGAUGCAGGAUGUUCCUAGGAGCCCACUUCAUCACAUGGGGUGGGUAAUAGAUGGGAGGACUCAUUUGUUUAUUUCAGGACAAAGGCCAGGGGUUGAGGGUCGCAGUGGUCAAAGUUCUUUCGUGUCCAUAGCACAGAGUGGUGGGAGGAGUCAUAAAAAAUCUAUUUUUUAUGUUUGACUGUUGGGGGGAGGGAGGCGCCCUGAUGGGGUGACAGCCUCCCCAGCUGUUCUCUUGUCCCACCCUGGGAAUGUCAUGUCUGUGGUCCUGGAGCCCCAGCAGGUGGUCCUGCCCAGCCCUGCUGGUGAAUCUAGCCAUGUCGUUGUCAAAUCGCCCUUCGCUUUGAACCGCUUUAGUUGCCUUCAGCUACAAACUCUCAGUUGUAAAGAUUUACUCUGAAGACACUGGGGUGUCCCUUGUUACAUUUUUAAUUAACAGACCUUGGACUUCAUGCAAGCAGUUUAGUCCUGAGACGGCAACAAGGCGCAGAAUGAACACAGAGCAUGCUGCUCUCCUGGGUGACUCCACACUUGCUACAUAACGGAAGCUCAGCAAACAUAGUCUGAAGAAAGGAUGAGGCCACGGUGUCUGAGCCAAAGCCCCCUGUUUUCAGAGACUAGGAAUGGGGGCUUAAAAACAAUCCUCCAGGGAAGUGGCAUUUGGAGCAAAGAGAAGGACAUGGGACUGAGAUUUGAGAGAUGUGAGUGCGGCUCCUGCUCUUUCCCUGGGCCAAGAAUUGGGUGAAUUGUUGUUAUCCUCUAUGAUGGUUAAGGUUAAGUGUCAACUUGAUUGGAUUGAAGGAUGCAAAGUAUUGUUCCUGAGUGCGUCUGUGAAGGUGUUGCCAAAGGAGAUUAACAUUUGAGUUAGUAAACUAGGAGAGGCAGAUCCACCCUCAGUCUGGGUGGGCACCAUUGAAUCAGCUGCCAGCUCGGCUAGAAUAAAACCAGGCAGAGGAACGUGGAAGGACUAGACUGGCUGAGCCUUCUGGCCCCAUUUUUCUCCUGGGCUGUAUGCUUCCUGCCCUUGAACAUCAGACUCCAAAUUCUUCAGCUUUGGGACUCUUGCAUCUUCGACCACAGACUGAAGGCUGCACUGUUGGCUUCCCAACUUUUGAGGUUUUGGGACUCGGACUGGCUUCCUGGCUCCUCAGCUUGCAGAUGGCCUACUGUGGGAUCUCACCUUGUUAUCGUGUGAAUCAACACUCCUUAAUAAACUCCCCUUUAUAUAUACAUCUAUCCUAUUAGUUCUGUCCCUCUAGAGAACCCUGACUCAUACAGAUUUUGGUAGCAGGAGUAAUUCUAGAGGAACAGAGUAUUAAGGAUGGAGUUCUUUUGUUGAUUUGGGGGUUUCUGGAGUUGGCUGCUUAAUAUGAUUAGACUCAAAAAUGCUAAGGGCUCUACUUCUAAUAGCAUGGAGAACACCGAUAGUUCUUGCAAAAUAAAUGCAUUUGAUACUCCUGAUUCACUGCUCAUGAGAGGCAGGAGCUUAAUGACUCUAUACCUGAUAUCUUUGACCCUACGUGGAGAACCAAGGAAUAUAAUGAAGUUGGUUGGUUGCUCCUAAGUUCACUGGACAAAGUGAUGAAAGAAAAAGAGCCUCAUUUUCUUUAUCUGAAAACAGAAACAAGGUCGACCAGCAUGUGGCUGAGCCAAUGAACCCAGGCAAGAUGUGAAGAGACCUGCCCCUCCGGGAGCUGACGAACAUCGCCUUGUGCCUGCCUCCUCCUUGACAGCCCCUGAUUUAAUGCAGAGAUGGAGGCAGGGGAGCAUCUGAGUCUGUUCGGGUAGCAGCAAGACUCCUUCCCGCCCACACCAACCCCAGCUAGCCUCAGAGAAGGCUACACAGCCUUGCAGAGGAGAAGGGGCUGUGAAAUCUGCUGGAUUCAUUCCUUUCAAAGCACUUUACCAAUGUGCACACACAGGCCCUCCAUUCUCUCAGGAAGAUCAAAAAGCAGCCCAGAUAAGCUGAGAUGGAUGAGUCUCUCUAGAACAGUGCACGAUACCUAGGGUGAUCAAUAAAGUGUUUGUAGAAUAAGCAAGUGAAUUAAUAAAUAUGUGAAUGAAUGAAACCAUUUUUUUGAAAAUGACUUCCGUUGAGUUCCACAGAGCAGAAUUUGAAAACUCAGUGAUUUGUCAGUUGUUGCCAACCCAUCUCCGUGGUUCAAAAUAAGCACUAAUUCUCACACGCGCAGAUUCACAGGUGACUCAUGGCUCUGCGACCCGGGCUCUGCGACAUGGGCUCUGCUGGAUAGGGUGCAGGCUGUGGAUUGGGCUCAGAUCUGCUCCACACGUGUGCGCACUGGACCGAGUAUCAAGGGACAGUAGCUCCUGUUAUAAAGAGAGCACACGCUCAUCACAGCAGAUCCCCAGGAGCAAGAGUGAGCCAAGCUGCACAUUUAAUCCCUUUGCUCUCAUCACUUCUGCUGACUUCCAAAUGGUCAAAGCAAGUCACACAGCCAAACAUCAGCAGGGUGGGAAGUGUUCUCCACCUGCAGUGUGAAGGGGAGAGAGUGAAUAUUUGCUUAAUGAUAAUCUAAACUGUCACAAAAACCCUGGCCCUAGAGAGUGGCUCGACCAGCUUUAAUGUUGUGAUGGGUCACAAUCUAAGAGGCUCUGAGAUUGCUAUUGUUUAAAAUUAAUUAAUAAAUGAAAAUAAAUGCCAGAAUCUGACAUGCCCUGAGGGAUGAGUCACAGUGACAGCUAGUGCAGGCGCACCCCACAGCCAUCUGCCAG
rnacentral:lncRNA from 10 species